rnacentral:lncRNA from 1 species
CCCCUUCAGUGUGGCUCUGGGGGAGGAAUUGCUCUGGCCUUUAGUUCUAGAGAAUCACAACUCCGAGAGAGAGAGAGAAAAACUGUAUUUGUAUAUGUGAAAGAGAGAGAGAGGGAGAAAGAGAGAGAGAGGCAAUGUGUGUGUGUGAAAGAGAGAGAGAUUGAUUCAGACCAUUCCCUCCAGCCUGCCAGGCCUCACUCCUCUGGUGCAGAACUCCUUUCCUUUGUGACAUUUUACACCUGCUGUUACUUAUUGACAGACUGUGCUCCAGGAAGAUUGAAUGCAUUUAUGUUACUUCCUGUUGUAUCUUGGGCUGUGGCCAGGCAUGAGUUGAUUAGCUGCCUUGGGAUGGGGCACAUAUGGAGAGGCUGGCCUUGGGGAAACACUGAUGUAGGCCCUUUGACUACAUGGCAACUCAGCGAGUCUAUGGUUUGCUCACAGUUAGGUCAGGUUCACGAAUUAAAUUCAGGGGAACUGUCUUAUCCAUCGCUAUACGGGCAUCAGAAGUCCUAGGAUAUCUGGGAAGCUCAUCUGCUUCUGCAGCUGGCCGAGCAUUUUCCACUUGUUCUCAUUCGAAGGCACGCAUGAGGCUGGCCUCUCAUCACGUCUGAAGCCCGACGUUGCUGAAAGGCUCCUGGACCUGCGUUUGCUCUUCACUGUCACUGCCUCAACCCAGCUUCAAGUCUCCUCUUAGAAACGAUGGUCUGCCUACAUUCAAAGCCGUCUCUAUCAAAGCCAUUUCUUUGAACUUUUCUGAAGAAUAAUCUGGCAACAUCUGAGAUUUAAUGUCUUUUAAAAUACUGUGAAAAAAAAAGACAGUUCUGUCUAGAUUGAGCCUCCAGAUUCGUUAGUUACCUGGCUGGAUCUUACAGACAUACUGAAACUUCUGUUGCUGCACUAAAACUUUUUAAAAAUUGGUUUAUAAACUGAGAACCUUGGAAACUUUUAAACAUCCUCCCAUGAAGUUGCUUUAGAAUUUUAUGUAUUUGUUUGUCAUCUUACUUCCCCUUUACAUAUGCCAGGGGUUGCUGUGUAUCAGUGCUGGCAAUUUUAUUCCUUUCGAGCAUCCGUGUUUGUACUGCAGAGAGUUCCUGUGGUGAUAAAAAGUG